CUUCUCUGCCCUCCAUCGCCAAGCCCUACACCUCUGCGAAGACUGUGACACAUAAAGUCCUGUGUCAACGGUUGAUCUGUGCCCGCAGAGAGAGCCUGCUCCAGCCUCUUUGCUACAGCCUUGAGUCUUCUGCUGUGAUAGGAUGCUAGAGAGGAAAAUUUGGAAUUAGCUUUUAAAAGGAAGAGAAAUGACGGUGUAACCAUCUGCCAAAUACAUGGAAACAACAACAACAAAAACCUCAUCAUUCACCUGGCCUGGCAAAUAGGAGGAGAAAUUUCUUCCAGAGACAUAAGCAGGAGGAAGCUGGAGCUCUCUCCUGAGUGAUUGUCAGUUGCAGAGGAGGUGAAUAUCACAGGACAAGCAAGCGUGGGGGAGAAGACUGCCUAGACAUUCUAAAG
rnacentral:lncRNA from 1 species